UUCCAUGCAAGACCUGAAAUGUAGUUUCAAAGUAAUGUUGGGACUUUUUAAAGUUGAAGUUUUAACAAUAUCCUGAAAUACUUUGAUGGACAUUCUUAAACAAUUAACUAGAAUGUGGAAAUCAACAUUUUGUGUGUUAACAAGUCUCUAAAAGAGGAAUUCAGUGAGUUAUGAAGCGGCCCUUUUGGAAAUGCUUUGAACUGUUAAACAGCGAUUUUCAAAAAAGAUUGUGUAGCAACUUACCCCUGACAACGACCUCAGAAGUGCAGUCACAGAGUAAUGGUGCUGUUAUCACUUAAAAGCAACCAUCAAAAAAGAUUGUGUAGCAACUUUCCCCUGACAACGACCACUGGCUCAGUUAAGUGCAGUCACAGAGUGAUGGUACCUCACCAGGGUCUAGUUCAGGCAAAUGAAGAAAAAGGGAUUUUCAUCUCAAUAUAAUAACUGUAAUUUCUUAAAACAUAAACUUACUUUAUUUACUGUGUUUUUAUGUCAUAUAACAGUGAUACAAUAAUGUGUGUUGUAUUUAGGGAUUUAUUUCUUAACGGGAUGUGUAAGAGUAAAUUAUUUUAUUUUAUUGACUGUCAGUAUUUGUUACUUUUCUUAUAUAUAUAUAAA